GACUCGACAUGCCUAGAUUUCUCCUCAACAUUCAGAUGCUGUGCAGCACAUUGUGCAGUGGGAGCUGCCGCCAUCUUGACUCUGUUUCUGUUUUGCUGCGGCCUGGCCAAUUUUAAACUUGAUGAAGUGUCAGGAAGGAUCCAGGAUCUCCAGCAGUGAAGAUAAGUAUGUCAGAAGACUAGAAGCUCCACCUGCUUAUAUUUCCCUACAGACAGUCAGGAAAAGAUCUGGGUGUGUACAUCGAUUAGGAAAAAGCGUAUCCAAAUGUUUGAGCUGCAUAUGUGUUCCUGAAAAAUUGCCUAUUUUUCCAAGAAACGAAGGAACGCAUAAUCUAUGAUUGAUGCCAUGUAACUAUGGGAUUGCAAUGGAAUUUCUCUUUUUAUGUAUUUACCCAGGUGAAUUUAUUAUUGUGAAUGCAAAAAAAUAAAAAUUUAGUCCUUUCUAAAUGUUGGGCAUACCACAAAUAUCCCUGUUUUCUCCAUGUUGCUUGCCAAGCAUGUAUACAUAUUAUUUUACACUUUGAAAUUAUAUACAGUGCCUUGAAAAAGUAUUUGUACCCCUUGAAAUUUUCCACAUU